AUGAACGCUGGCGGCGUGCCUAACACCUGCAAGUCGCGCGGCAGCGAGGGGUGCUUGCACCCUGUCGGCGAGCGGCGGACGGCUGAGUAACGCGUGGGAACGUGCCCCAAAGUGAGGAAUAACUGCCCGAAAGGGUAGCUAAUACCGCAUAUUAUCUUCGGAUCAAAGGAUUUAUCCGCUUUGGGAGCGGCUCGCGUCGGAUUAGGUAGUUGGUGAGGUAAUGGCUCACCAAGCCGACGAUCCGUAGCUGGUCUGAGAGGAUGACCAGCCAGACUGGAACUGAGACACGGUCCAGACUCCUACGGGAGGCAGCAGUGAGGAAUCUUCCACAAUGGGCGAAAGCCUGAUGGAGCAACGCCGCGUGCAGGACGAAGGCCUUCGGGUUGUAAACUGCUUUUAUAAGUGAGGAAUAUGACGGUAACUUAUGAAUAAGGAUCGGCUAACUACGUG
rnacentral:rRNA from 1 species